AUGCCGUCCUUCCUGGGCGCGCUCAAGAAGCUCAACUUGCUCGAUCUCUCCUUCAACUCGCUAAGCGGCGCCAUCCCGGCGUCGCUGGGGACCAUCCCCAAUCUGCUCGGCAUCAACCUCAGCCGCAACCGCCUCACCGGCGCCAUCCCCCCGAUGUUCCUAAGCAAGUCUCCGCACCAGGACGUUUACCUCUGGCUGUCGCACAACAACCUCACAGGGCCCAUCCCGGCAGACUUCGCCGCUGUGAAUUUCACGCACCUCGAGCUGUCGCGCAACAACCUGACCGGCGACGCGUCGGGCCUCUUCGGCCGCGGGAAGGAGUUGCAGUACAUUGACCUGUCCCGCAACGCCUUCGAUUUCGACUUCUCAGGCGUGGUGCUCCCGGAGCAGGUCUACUUCGUCGACGUGAGCCACAAUGCCAUCCAUGGUAGCAUCCCGGCGCAGGUCGGGAGCGCCGCCAACCUGCACUUCUUCAACGUCAGCUACAACAGGCUCUGCGGCCCUGUACCCACCGGUGGGACACGGCGAGGUUCGAUCUCUACAACUUUCAGCACAACAAAUGCCUCUGCGGUGCUCCCCUCCCACAUGCAAGAAAUAUAUGGAAUUAUCUGGUGGGUUUGGCAUCUAUGUCGACCAAUUCGACUAAUGUCUCCCUGGAUUAAGGGUUAUGCUGAAAUAAAGUCAAGAUAG
rnacentral:rRNA from 1 species